GACGGGCGCUCAGACGCGGGCUGCGGGGAAGGGACGGGCGCUCGGACUCGGGCUGCGGGUGCCAGACGAACACCCACACAGGCCUACUGUGCCCAUGGUGGGAUCUCUCCCCUCCUCCCCCCUGUACAGUGGCUGCGGGGCUGCAGCGAUGGCGUCCUGGACAUAUUCAAGAGGAGCCCUAUGGGAUUGUCCAGGCAAGGAGGGCAUGGGCCCUGCCCAGCUAGGAUGGGGCACCAUUCCCAGGCUGCUGCAUCAAAGCCAGCCGUGGCUAGGAGCGAUCAGCGACGGUGCACUGGCUCAUAGAUGCCAUGAGCUGUGUGGUUCUCAUCAUCCUUCUUUGGGUGGCGCUGCCCAGGUGGGUCCAAAAGGAAAUUCUUUGGCACCAGCUCCAGGCCACAGCCCCAAGAUCAGAGCUGCCAGACCUCAACACCUGCCAAUCACACCGGGCAAAAGCUGGAAUUCCCCGGAUGGACCUGAUCCUGAUUGGCCAUCAAGAAAAGUUCAGCUGCCUUAUUGGGAGUGGGGAGUGGGGAGCAUUGUACGUGCCGCAUGUGCAUUCUGUUGUGGUGAUUGUCAAUAAAUAGAGGUGAGGGGUAUUACUGUGUAAAAGACCCCACAAACCUGCAG